rnacentral:rRNA from 1 species
UAGUCCACGCUGUAAACGAUGUCGAUUUGGAGGUUGUUCCCUUGAGGAGUGGCUUCCGGAGCUAACGCGUUAAAUCGACCGCUGGGGAGUACGGCCGCAAGGUUAAAACUCAAAUGAAUUGACGGGGGCCCGCACAAGCGGUGGAGCAUGUGGUUUAAUUCGAUGCAACGCGAAGAACCUUACCUACUCUUGACAUCCAGAGAAUUUAGCAGAGAUGCUUUAGUGCCUUCGGGAACUCUGAGACAGGUGCUGCAUGGCUGUCGUCAGCUCGUGUUGUGAAAUGUUGGGUUAAGUCCCGCAACGAGCGCAACCCUUAUCCUUUGUUGCCAGCACAUUAUGGUGGGAACUCAAAGGAGACUGCCGGUGAUAAACCGGAGGAAGGUGGGGAUGACGUCAAGUCAUCAUGGCCCUUACGAGUAGGGCUACACACGUGCUACAAUGGCGUAUACAAAGAGAAGCGACCUCGCGAGAGCAAGCGGAACUCAUAAAGUACGUCGUAGUCCGGAUUGGAGUCUGCAACUCGACUCCAUGAAGUCGGAAUCGCUAGUAAUCGUAGAUCAGAAUGCUACGGUGAAUACGUUCCCGGGCCUUGUACACACCGCCCGUCACACCAUGGGAGUGGGUUGCAAAAGAAGUAGGUAGCUUAACCUUCGGGAGGGCGCUUACCACUUUGUGAUUCAUGACUGGGGUGAAGUCGUAACAAGGUAACCA